GGAGGGGGAUGGGGCCAUUGCUUUUCCCUAUAAAAAACAGUUGACGGAGCAGUUCGUAUUUGCGUUGGAAUGCUGGCGUGAGGCAUAAAGAGCUGCAAUUCAGUGUCAUAUCACAGAUGACUACAAGGCCAUGGACACGAGAGACAGCAGUGCAUCAGCUGACUCAGUUUAGUAGCUUUUUUUCAGCUGUUUUCAUCCUGUUUCUUCAAAUAAAGGUGUAAUGAGCUUUUACUCUGUAUGAUAUGAUAACAUAUGCACUCACCAUUUAUAAUAAGCAUACAGUUAGCCGUAAAACAAUGUGCUUGGCUUUCUUAAGCCAAUGCACCUCAAACCAUGCAUUUGAAGUGAUGGCAGAACUUAAUUUUCACACAAGUCAGUGCUGCCCACCUCCAUUCACUUUUCAGAGUUACUGUUGGUUCUCUCCUGCUCCUCACAGAUCUGUACUCAGAUGAGUUGGAUUUUUAGCCCAUCUGAAGUUCAUUUAUCAGUGGUAUGUUUUGCAAAAAAAAAUGAAAGCACAUUUUUACUGAGCAUACAGAGUAGGUUUCAAUCAAGGUCAGGCUGUAGUUGACGAUGUGUCUUCGUGGUUCCUAACAGCGAUGUGUUCUUUCCAUCAGACGAGUUGAUACUCGUUCUUUAAGGUCAUACACCAGUAUAUCCUUAACUAACAUAAUCAGCAUUUUCUUUUAUUCUCCCCCGCUCAUAAUCAAAUUAUCUUUGAUCUCUAAUUUACAUUAAAUAAACACCUUUAAGGAAUCUGAAA